AUUGAACGCUGGCGGCAGGCCUAACACAUGCAAGUCGAACGGUAACAGGAAACAGCUUGCUGUUUCGCUGACGAGUGGCGGACGGGUGAGUAAUGUCUGGGAAACUGCCUGAUGGAGGGGGAUAACUACUGGAAACGGUAGCUAAUACCGCAUAACGUCGCAAGACCAAAGAGGGGGACCUUCGGGCCUCUUGCCAUCGGAUGUGCCCAGAUGGGAUUAGCUUGUUGGUGGGGUAACGGCUCACCAAGGCGACGAUCCCUAGCUGGUCUGAGAGGAUGACCAGCCACACUGGAACUGAGACACGGUCCAGACUCCUACGGGAGGCAGCAGUGGGGAAUAUUGCACAAUGGGCGCAAGCCUGAUGCAGCCAUGCCGCGUGUAUGAAGAAGGCCUUCGGGUUGUAAAGUACUUUCAGCGGGGAGGAAGGGAGUAAAGUUAAUACCUUUGCUCAUUGACGUUACCCGCAGAAGAAGCACCGGCUAACUCCGUGCCAGCAGCCGCGGUAAUACGGAGGGUGCAAGCGUUAAUCGGAAUUACUGGGCGUAAAGCGCACGCAGGCGGUUUGUUAAGUCAGAUGUGAAAUCCCCGGGCUCAACCUGGGAACUGCAUCUGAUACUGGCAAGCUUGAGUCUCGUAGAGGGGGGUAGAAUUCCAGGUGUAGCGGUGAAAUGCGUAGAGAUCUGGAGGAAUACCGGUGGCGAAGGCGGCCCCCUGGACGAAGACUGACGCUCAGGUGCGAAAGCGUGGGGAGCAAACAGGAUUAGAUACCCUGGUAGUCCACGCCGUAAACGAUGUCGACUUGGAGGUUGUGCCCUUGAGGCGUGGCUUCCGGAGCUAACGCGUUAAGUCGACCGCCUGGGGAGUACGGCCGCAAGGUUAAAACUCAAAUGAAUUGACGGGGGCCCGCACAAGCGGUGGAGCAUGUGGUUUAAUUCGAUGCAACGCGAAGAACCUUACCUGGUCUUGACAUCCACGGAAGUUUUCAGAGAUGAGAAUGUGCCUUCGGGAACCGUGAGACAGGUGCUGCAUGGCUGUCGUCAGCUCGUGUUGUGAAAUGUUGGGUUAAGUCCCGCAACGAGCGCAACCCUUAUCCUUUGUUGCCAGCGGUCCGGCCGGGAACUCAAAGGAGACUGCCAGUGAUAAACUGGAGGAAGGUGGGGAUGACGUCAAGUCAUCAUGGCCCUUACGACCAGGGCUACACACGUGCUACAAUGGCGCAUACAAAGAGAAGCGACCUCGCGAGAGCAAGCGGACCUCAUAAAGUGCGUCGUAGUCCGGAUUGGAGUCUGCAACUCGACUCCAUGAAGUCGGAAUCGCUAGUAAUCGUGGAUCAGAAUGCCACGGUGAAUACGUUCCCGGGCCUUGUACACACCGCCCGUCACACCAUGGGAGUGGGUUGCAAAAGAAGUAGGUAGCUUAACCUUCGGGAGGACGCUUACCACUUUGUGAUUCAUGACUGGGGUGAAG
rnacentral:rRNA from 1 species